CCAAGCGAAGUAAGAGCGCAGGGAGGAUGCCAGGGCGCCACCAGCCGAAGAAGGACGUGGUAAGCUGCGAAAAGCCGCGGGGAGCCGCAAACAGGCAGAGAUCCGCGGACGUCCGAAUGGGGAAACCCGGCGGAGGUAAUACUCCGUCACCGUAUGAUGAAUACAUAGUUAUACGGAGGGAACCCGGGGAACUGAAACAUCUAAGUACCCGGAGGAAAAGAAAGUAAGAACGAUUUCCUAAGUAGCGGCGAGCGAACGGGAAAGAGCCCAAACCUGAAGUUUUCGGACUUUGGGGGUUGAGGUGCGGCAAAGAAGCAAGCGCGAAGCAUAGGUGAAUACAACGCGCGGCGAGCCGUAACCAGAGUACCGCAGGACACGAGGAAUCCGGCGGGAAGCAGGGGGGACCACCCUCCAAGGCUAAAUACUGAGUGGCGACCGAUAGAGCAGAGUACCGUGAGGGAAAGGUGAAAAGAACCCCGGAAGGGGAGUGAAAGAGAACCUGAAACCCUGCGUUUACAAGCAGAGAGAGCACGAUAAAUGUGCGAUCUCGUACUUUUUGUAGAACGGACCGGCGAGUUACGAUACGGAGCAAGGUUAAGGACUGAAAGGUCUGAAGCCGAAGGGAAACCGAGUCUGAAGAGGGCGAUAAGUUGCGUGUCGUAGACCCGAAACCGGGCGAUCUACCCAUGGUCAGGGUGAAGUGAGAGUAAAAUCUCAUGGAGGCCCGAACCACACGUCCGUGAAAAGGGCGGGGAUGAACUGUGGGUAGGGGAGAAAUUCCAAUCGAGCUCGGAGAUAGCUGGUUCUCCUCGAAAUAGCUUUAGGGCUAGCCUCGGAGAAGAGAUCCACGGAGGUAGAGCACUGAAUGGGCUAGGGGGCCACAAAGCUUACCGAACCCUAUCAAACUUCGAAUGCCGUAGGAUUGUUAACCGGGAGUCAGACAGUGGGAGAUAAGUUUCAUUGUCAAAAGGGAAACAGCCCAGAUCAACAGCUAAGGCCCCCAAGUGUAAGUUAAGUGGAAAAGGAUGUGCAAGCGCAUAGACAACCAGGAUGUUGGCUUAGAAGCAGCCAUACAUUAAAAGAGUGCGUAAUAGCUCACUGGUCGAGUGAAUGUGCGCCGAAGAUGAAACGGGGCUAAACUUACCGCCGAAGCUUUGGGAUCGCCGGCAUCAUUGAUGUGACUUGAGAGAAUGGGAGCGCGAGAAGGAGAGGGAACCGCGUGAGAGCGCGGAGAAAUCGAAUAAGAAGAAGAAGAAGAGGGAAGAGCAUAAGCGUAUGGCAUAGCGUAAGCGUAUGGCAUAGGCAAGGGAAGCGGAAGGAAAAAGGGGAAGAGAAGGAAGCGCAAGAGGGAAGAGACUCAAGUAAUAUCAAUGAUGCCGGGGAUCGGUAGAGGAGCAUUGUAUGCGCGCAGAAGCAUAACCGGAAGGAUAUGUGGAGUGCAUAGAAGAGAGAAUGCCGGUAUGAGUAACGCGAGCGGAGUGAGAAACUUCGCGGUCGAAAGCCUAAGGAUUCCUGGGGAAGGAUUGUCCGCCCAGGGUAAGUCGGGACCUAAGCCGAGGACGGAAGUCGUAGGCGAUGGAAAGCCGGUGGAGAUUCCGGCACCACCUAAAGCGUUAAGAGAAGCAGUGACACGGAAGGAUAGCCCGAGCGGGGUGAUGGUCAACCCCGUGCAAGCGAGCAGGGUGUGAGGCAGUGAAGUACACCUCACAGAAGCCCGAGACGUGACGCGGAGCGAAAAGAAGUAGUGAAGCGGGUAAAUCCAGGCUGGCGAGAAAAGCUGCUAUCAAGCUAAAAGGUGCCCGUACCGCAAACCGACACAGGUAGGCGAGGAGAGAAUCCUAAGACGAACGGGAGAACCCUUGUUAAGGAACUCGGCAAAGGCCCAAGCGACUGUUUAUCAAAAACACAGGUAUCUGCGAAAGCGAGAGCUGAAGUAUAGGUGCUGACGCCUGCCCGGUGCUGGAAGGUUAAGGGGAAGUGUUAGGGGAGACCCGAAGCAGAGAACCGAAGCCCCAGUAAACGGCGGCCGUAACUAUAACGGUCCUAAGGUAGCGAAAUUCCUUGUCGGGUAAGUUCCGACCCGCACGAAUGGCGUAAC
rnacentral:rRNA from 1 species